UUCUGAAACAAAAGAAGAAGAGAGAGCUGAGCUAUUGUUUUAUAGCCUGUGAUUGUGAUUUUUCUGAGACUUCAAGAAAAUGCGCGGUGGGAGGAAUGCUGCGAUGUGGCCAGGAGGACAGCUGAUCUCUGCUGUCCUUCCCACCUGAGGAAAGCAGGUGGCUUAAACGGUGCAGAUGUUGGCAAAAUGCCGCUGCAGACCAUCAGUGAGGUUCUUCCUUCAGCCUCUGAGUUGUAGGAUGUCUCAUCAGUGUUCGUCUUCCUGCCAGUCGGUGUUUACCUUCAGGAUGUCCAGACCUUCACCUUUCUGGAGCAGGGAUCUCAUGAGCUCAGUGUGCUGAUGAAACAUUUCUAAUUUUAAAAAAUGUGUCUGAUGUUCUUACAGAGUUGAAGUGCAUUCACAAUCUGUUGUUUUUAACUUCUCAAUACGUUUAAAUAUGAUUCAUCUGAUGUUCAAGUUAUACUGAGAACAAAUAAAGCUUUAUUCCUUCUAAUAUGACUGGUUCUACUUUUAAUCAAACCUUCCAUGUUUUCACAUUUGGUCACUUUAAAGUUUAAACUCAGUCUUGUUUAUCACUAAUUAAGGUUACAGAUUUUGGACACAUUUUCUCACUUUCUUGCAUUGAAGAUUCUCCAGGAAGACAGAUAAACAGUGAGUGAAUAGGACGAUGUUGUAUAAAAUAGAAAUUAACAAACAUGAUUUGUAUUUUGGGUUCUUGUUAAUAGCAACCCUGAUGACGUCAAAAUGUUUGGUUUGCUGUAUAAUAUAUUCAUGUUUGGAUACCUUCAUUGGUAAUCUUCAAUGUUAAGUGUCAAUUAAAUAUUUAUAUAAUACUC